UACGUAGGAUGCAAGCGUUGUCCGGAAUUAUUGGGCGUAAAGAGUUCGUAGGCGGUGAUUUAAGUCUAGUGUUAAAGCCCGGAGCUCAACUCCGGCAUGGCAUUGGAAACUGAAUUGCUAGAGUGUGAUAGAGGUAACUGGAAUUCCAGGUGUAGCGGUGAGAUGCGUAGAUAUCUGGAGGAACACCGGUGGCGAAAGCGAGUUACUGGAUCAUAACUGACGCUGAGGAACGAGAGCCAGGGUAGCAAAAGGG
rnacentral:rRNA from 1 species